rnacentral:rRNA from 1 species
CUUGUUACGACUUCACCCCAAUCAUGGAUCAUACCUUGGGCCGCUGCCUCCCUUGCGGGUCAGCCUGCAGACUUCUAGUACAAUCCACUUUCGUGAUGUGACGGGCGGUGUGUACAAGGCCCGGGAACGUAUUCACGGCAGCGUGCUGAUCUGCCAUUACUAGCGAUUCCAGCUUCAUGCAGGCGAGUUGCAGCCUGCAAUCCGAACUGAGAACGGUUUUUUGCGAUUGGCUCCCCCUCGCGGGUUCGCUGCGCUUUGUACCGUCCAUUGUAGCACGUGUGUAGCCCUGGACAUAAAGGCCAUGAGGACUUGACGUCAUCCCCACCUUCCUCCAACUUAUCGCUGGCGGUCUCCUGCGAGUUCCCAACUGAAUGAUGGCAACACAGGACAAGGGUUGCGCUCGUUGCGGGACUUAACCCAACAUCUCACGACACGAGCUGACGACAGCCAUGCAGCACCUCGAAUAGAC